UUCUCUCUGGAGGUAGAUAGCAUUUUUCUUUUUUCCCCCUUAAACCCUUACCUUCUGAAUUCGAAUUGUAGGAAAGGAUUUCUAGCAGGGCACAGCAAUGCAGGCUGGCAGCUUGCAAGACCAAGAUUCCACAGACUUGGCUGGGUUGGGAUUCUGAGGCAGUUAGAAAUCUCUCUCUCCCUGAAGCUAGUCAGACUCGAAGGUGUGCCUAGUGGUCUCUCUAUAGAACCAAUUGAGGAGCUGCCAAGGACUUGGAUUUUCAAAAGGCUGAGGCUGUCACAGAAUACCAUCGUCUCCACCAGACUGCUAUUAAACAACACCCAAAGAGCUAUGGAGAGGGGUAUGGUGGGAGUGAGCCAACUACAACACAUUCUAAAUAAGGAAUUAAGCCAGGAGAAGGUAUAUAAAGGAUCAUGCAUUUGGGUCUGGAAGGGAUCUUUGAAAUCACUCAAGUCUUUCAUUUUACAAAUGAGGUAACUGAGGGACAACAUGAUAUAGCAGACUGAGAGCUGGGCUUUGGGUCAGAAAGGCCUGAGUUUGAAUUCUACCUCCAAUACUAAUAUUGGACAAAUCACUUGAUCUCAAUCUCCUCAUCCAUAAAAUGGGAACAUAGCCAAUUAUAGUGAGUAGCUAUUUCCCUGGGUCAUAAAGGACAGAAUGCAUUAAAGUGCUUUGUAGAUCUUUAAAUGAUGGAUAAAUAUCAGUUAUUAUUAUUGCCCAAAGUCACACAGUUGGCAGAGCAGAGACUUGAAGCUAAAGCUCUUGAUUCCCCCCACAGACAGGGGCUCUACCUACCAGGCCACACUGUCCCUCACUACAUUGCAGGAACAUGUUCCAUACUUAGAGACACUCAAGUCAUGAUAAUAAUAAUAAUAGCUAACAUUUAUAUCAUGCAUAGUAUGUACCAGGUCUAAGUGCUUCACAGUUUUCUUGUUUGCUUCCCUAAACAACACCAGAAGGUAGAGCUAUCAUUAUUCUUAUUUUACAGAUGAGGAAAUUGAGGCAAACAGAGGUUAAAUGGCUUCUCCUAGGUCAGACAGCUUGUGAGUAUCUGAGGCUGGAUAGAACUUGGGUCUUCCUAGCUUUAGACCGGUAGCUCUGGCGACGUUAUUGAUUAUUGGUAGAAAGAUAGCAGUAUUUUAGUAUUUUUAGGAAGAGGGUUGGUUGGAAAGAAGGUUGGAAGGAUGGAAGGAAGGAUGGAAGGAAGGAAGGAAGGAAGGAAGGAAGGAAGGAAGGAAGGAAGGAAGGAAGGAAGGAAGGAAGGAAGGAAGUAAGUAAGGAAGGAAGGAAGGAAGGAAGGAAGGAGAAGGGACAAGUUAUGUGGCUCAGUAGAUUGAGAGUCAUAGGCCUAGAGAUGAGAGGUCUUGGGCUCAAGUUUGACUUUAGACCCUUCC
rnacentral:lncRNA from 1 species